AGCAGCCGCGGUAAUUCCAGCUCCAAUAGCGUAUAUUAAAGUUGUUGCAGUUAAAAAGCUCGUAGUUGAAUUUCGGGGUUAGUAGGUUGGUCAUGCCUCUGGUAUGUACUGGUCUCACUGAUUCCUCCUUCCUGAUGAACCGUAAUGCCAUUAAUUUGGUGUUGCGGGGAAUUUGGACUGUUACUUUGAAAAAAUUAGAGUGUUUAAAGCAGGCUAACGCUUGAAUACAUUAGCAUGGAAUAACGGAAUAGGACGUUCGAUCUUAUUUUGUUGGUUUCUAAGAUUGACGUAAUGAUUAAUAGGGAUAGUUGGGGGCACUAGUAUUCAAUUGUCAGAGGUGAAAUUCUUGGAUUUAUUGAAGACUAACUACUGCGAAAGCAUUUGCCAAGGAUGUUUUCAUUAAUCAAGAACGAAAGUUAGGGGAUCGAAGACGAUCAGAUACCGUCGUAGUCUUAACCAUAAACUAUGCCGACUAGGGAUCGGAUGAUGUAAUUUUUAAUGACUCAUUCGGCGCCUUACG
rnacentral:rRNA from 1 species